rnacentral:rRNA from 1 species
UGCGCAGGCUGUUUUGUAAGUCAGAUGUGAAAUCCCUGGGCUCAACCUAGGAACUGCGUUUGAAACUACAAGACUAGAAUAUGUCAGAGGGGGGUAGAAUUCCACGUGUAGCAGUGAAAUGCGUAGAGAUGUGGAGGAAUACCAAUGGCGAAGGCAAUCCCCUGGGCCUGCACUGACGCUCAUGCACGAAAGCGUGGGGAGCAAACAGGAUUAGAUACCCCAGUA